rnacentral:piRNA from 1 species
CUGAAUAAAAUGAUGUAGAAACG